rnacentral:rRNA from 1 species
UACGGAGGGUGCAAGCGUUAUCCGGAUUCACUGGGUUUAAAGGGAGCGCAGGCGGAUUGGUAAGUCAGUGGUGAAAGGCUUGAGCUUAACUCGGGAACUGCCAUUGAUACUAUCAGUCUUGAAUAUUGUUGAGGUUUGCGGAAUGGGUCAUGUAGCGGUGAAAUGCAUAGAUAUGACCCGGAACACCUAUUGCGAAGGCAGCAGGCUAAACAAAGAUUGACGCUGAGGCUCGAAAGCGUGGGGAGCGAACAGG